GAAUUGCGAUAAGUAGUAUGAAUUGCAAAUUCUGUGAAUCAUCGAAUCUUUGAACGCAUAUUGCGCUCUCUGGUACUCCGGAGAGCAUGCCUGUUUGAGGGUAAUUAACAGAAUCUUUAACCUUUUUCUUGGUUAAGGGAUAUGGGCAGUCCGCGGUUUAGCGGUGGCCUAAAAUAUAUGGUCAGUCUCAUCAAGUUGAGAUGCGUAAUAAUCAUUAUUUCGUAACACAUUUGAUGAACUACCACGUUUUGAUUCAUUCAACUAUGUUGGGUGCGGUUAAAACAAAUAUUUUUGACAUUACCUCAAAUCAGGUAGGAAUACCCGCUGAACUUAA
rnacentral:misc_RNA from 1 species